rnacentral:lncRNA from 1 species
AUGCUGUGUGACCUUGGACACUUGGGAGCAGUGGGACACUUCUUAUUCAGGGAAUUGUACCUAUUCUCUUUCCCCCUCCCAAUUUGGAAUAAUGAACUGGAGGGAUUCCAUGUGAAUUGGAACGACCUCCAGGAAUCAAUGCAGAGUGAAAGGAGCAGAACCAGGAAAACAUUAUAUACAGAGACAGAUACACUGUGGCACAAUCGAAUGUGAUGGACCUCUCUACUAGCAGCAAUGCAAUGAUCCAGGAUAAUUCUGAGGGACUCAUGAGAAAGAACAUUAUCCACAUCCAGAGAAAGAACUGUGGGAGCAGAAACAUAGAAGAAAAACAACUUCUUGAUCACUUGAGUUGAUGGGGAUAUGAUGGGGGAUAUAGACUCUAAAUGAUCACCCUGGUGCAAAUAUCAAAAUACGGAAAUAGGCCUUGAUCAAUGACACAUGUAAAACCCAGUGGAGUUGCUCAUUGACUAUGGGAGGGGAGUGAGAGGAGGGGAGGGAAAGAACAUGAAUCUUGUAACCAUGAAAAA